CCUACGGGUGGCAGCAGUGGGGAAUAUUGGGCAAUGGGCGAAAGCCUGACCCAGCAAUGCCGCGUGAAUGAAGAAGGUCUUAGGAUUGUAAAAUUCUGUCCUAUGGGAAGAAAAAAAUGACGGUACCAUAGGAGGAAGCCCCGGCUAACUACGUGCCAGCAGCCUCGGUAAUACGUAGGGGGCGAGCGUUGUCCGGAAUUACUGGGCGUAAAGAGAGCGUAGGCGGGACUACAAGUCUCAUGGGAAAUUCACGGGCUUAAAUUGGGGGCUGCAUGGGAAACUGUAGAGCUUGAGUACAGUAGAGGUAGGCGGAAUGCGUGGUGUAGCGGUGAAAUGCUUAGAUAUCACGAAGAACUCCGAUUGCGAAGGCAGCUUACUAACCUGCCACUGACAUUGAUGCACGAAAGUGUGGGUAUCAAACAGGAUUAGAUACCCUUGUAGUC
rnacentral:rRNA from 1 species